AGGCAACUCAUAGCCCUUCUAGGCAUCAAUAUAGCCCCGUAGGCAACAUAUAGCCCUUUUAGUUAUCCAUUUAACCCCGUAGGCUGGACAUAGCCCUUCUAGGCAUAAAUCACAUUCCUGCAGCUAACCACAAUAGCCCCAAGGGCAAUAAUAACAAUCAAAUCGUUAAAAGCGAGCAAUCUAGUUAUAAGCAACCUGUACAAAUAGCCUCUAAGUCGUGUCCAACAUAGGGACGC
rnacentral:lncRNA from 1 species